rnacentral:rRNA from 1 species
GACGGAGGAUGCAAGCGUUAUCCGGAAUGAUUGGGCGUAAAGCGUCCGCAGGUGGCAGUUCAAGUCUGCUGUCAAAGACCGGGGCUUAACUUCGGAAAGGCAGUGGAAACUGAACAGCUAGAGUAUGGUAGGGGCAGAGGGAAUUCCUGGUGUAGCGGUGAAAUGCGUAGAGAUCAGGAAGAACACCGGUGGCGAAGGCGGCUCUCUGGAACGGUACUGACGCUGAGACGCGAAAGCGUGGGGAGCGAACAGG